UGGGGAAUAUUGCACAAUGGGCGAAAGCCUGAUGCAGCGACGCCGCGUGAGCGAAGAAGUAUUUCGGUAUGUAAAGCUCUAUCAGCAGGGAAGAUAAUGACGGUACCUGACUAAGAAGCACCGGCUAAAUACGUGCCAGCAGCCGCGGUAAUACGUAUGGUGCAAGCGUUAUCCGGAUUUACUGGGUGUAAAGGGAGCGCAGGCGGUGCGGCAAGUCUGAUGUGAAAGCCCGGGGCUCAACCCCGGUACUGCAUUGGAAACUGUCGUACUAGAGUGUCGGAGGGGUAAGCGGAAUUCCUAGUGUAGCGGUGAAAUGCGUAGAUAUUAGGAGGAACACCAGUGGCGAAGGCGGCUUACUGGACGAUAACUGACGCUGAGGCUCGAAAGCGUGGGGAGCAAACA
rnacentral:rRNA from 2 species